CUACGUGCCAGCAGCCGCGGUAAUACGUAGGGUGCGAGCGUUAAUCGGAAUUACUGGGCGUAAAGCGAGCGCAGACGGUUACUUAAGCAGGAUGUGAAAUCCCCGGGCUCAACCUGGGAACUGCGUUCUGAACUGGGUGACUAGAGUGUGUCAGAGGGAGGUAGAAUUCCACGUGUAGCAGUGAAAUGCGUAGAUAUAUGGAGGAACACCGGUGGCGAAAGCGGCUCUCUGGUCUGUAACUGACGCUGAGGCUCGAAAGCGUGGGGAGCAAACAGGAUUAGAUACCCUGGUAGUCCACGCCGUAAACGAUGAGUGCUAGGUGUUAGGCCCUUUCCGGGGCUUAGUGCCGCAGCUAACGCAUUAAGCACUCCGCCUGGGGAGUACGACCGCAAGGUUGAAACUCAAAGGAAUUGACGGGGGCCCGCACAAGCGGUGGAGUAUGUGGUUUAAUUCGACGCAACGCGAAGAACCUUACCAGGUCU
rnacentral:rRNA from 1 species